AGUGAACGCUGGCGGCAGGCCUAACACAUGCAAGUCGAACGGCAGCACGGCGGUAGCAAUACCGUGGGUGGCGAUUGGCGGACGGGUGAGGAAUACAUCGGGAUCUACCCUGUCGUGGGGGAUAACGGAGGGAAACUUACGCUAAUACCGCCUAAGCACUGAGGUUGAACGCGGCGGACCGCAAGGCGUCGCGAGAUUGGAUGAAACGGUGUCCGAUUAGCUAGUUGGCGGGGUAAAGGCCCACCAAGGCGACGAUCGGUAGCUGGUCUGAGAGGACGACCAGCCACACUGGAACUGAGACACGGUCCAGACUCCUACGGGAGGCAGCAGUGGGGAAUAUUGGACAAUGGGCGCAAGCCUGAUCCAGCCAUGCCGCGUGGGUGAAGAAGGCCUUCGGGUUGUAAAGCCCUUUUGUCCGGAAAGAAAAGCAUUCGGUUAAUACCCGGGUGUUCUGACGGUACCGGAAGAAUAAGCCCCGGCUAACUUCGUGCCAGCCGCCGCAGUAAGAC
rnacentral:rRNA from 1 species